UACGUAGGUGGCAAGCGUUGUCCGGAUUUACUGGGCGUAAAGGAUGCGUAGGCGGACAUUUAAGUCUGAUGUGAAAUACCCGAGCUUAACUUGGGUGCUGCAUUUGAAACUGGGUGUCUAGAGUGCAGGAGAGGUAAGUGGAAUUCCUAGUGUAGCGGUGAAAUGCGUAGAGAUUAGGAAGAACACCAGUGGCGAAGGCGACUUGCUGGACUGUAACUGACGCUGAGGCAUGAAAGCGUGGGGAGCAAACAGG
rnacentral:rRNA from 1 species